rnacentral:lncRNA from 1 species
GGGCCGGGCAGGAAACGGGAGGGAGACGGCUACCAGGGCGGGAAACUGCCGCUAAACGCUGCGGCUGGCGGAGUAAAUAGGUGAGGGUGGCGGCUGGGACCGACCUGAGAGCAGCUGAUCUGCUGUCCGGCAGGCUGCUGGCCUGAUGGAUCCCGUGUAAACAUCCAGGAAAAGCCAGGGUUUCUUGUCCGACACACCGUUGUUGCCCAUAUCUGUUUUCCUGGUGACAGCCUGGACCUUCUGAAGGCAAUCUGGAGGGAGCAAGCUCCUGUCUUUUGGGUUUGGAUAUAAUGACUGUCCUGCCUGUCAGAGGAGCGUCAGAAGCCAGUCCAAGGAGAGUCGUUACAGCAUGAGAGCAGGUCUGUCUUGCCUCAUCUUCUACCCUACAGCCCCCACAGCCAGUGGGGAGCAAACUAGGAGUAUCAGAUUUGAUUAGAUUUCUCUGCUUAGAUCCCAGUUCAGUGCAGAAAUAACAAGCCUCACUGCCGACAGAAUAUCAAUGUGAUUUUUAUGUCUCUGUAAUUAAAAAUAAAAUAAAUUAAGCUGCCA